CUAUGGAGUAUAUUAAUACACUAACACGAUAUACACCUGUUACAUAUAACGGUGAAAUAAUAAAAUCCAACAAAAAGGUUAAACCCAUUAAAGCAAAUUUAUUAACUAAAAGUUGUUGGUCAGAUUCUGUUCAGUUAUCAAGGGGCAUUUAAUAUUUUUAUCAUUAGAAACCCUCUUAUUCACCGGAUCAAACCGGUGUUUUUUUUAUUAUAUUUACCGAUAAUUUUUAAUAAUUUGAUAAAGAUCAAGUUAUUAAAAAUUAUUUUUUUAGUCUUUUAUUAGAAAAAUUGUUACUAGAUUUUUAUGAAAAGUGUAUUAUAAUGAAAUUGUUAUAACUUAUUUAAGCUGUAUCAAUAAAGAGGAGUUUAAUAUAAUAUGAAAUCACUACUUUUAAUGUCGAUAUUAUAAAACACUUGAUCACCAGUCGAUUAAGUAAAUGUAUAAAAAUACAUCUAAAUUAAUAUUUAAAAGUAGUUGAAAAACUCUUUAAAAGAGCAUUAUGUUAUUCCAGUCAAUGUUUUGAAUACAUUAAAUUAUUCCUUGAAUGCAAAUGUGUAUAAAAACAUAAAAAGUGGUUAUAUUAUCAUGAAAAGAAUUUUAAGUUUUUUUAGUUACCGUGGGUUUGUUUUAAACAUUAUAAUGUUGGUAAGCUUGAUUGUUUUUAUUGCGGUCUAUGUUUACUUAUCAAAUAUUGAUCCGAAUCAGUUAGAUCAUAUGAAUGAAAAUAAAUCACAAAAUGGCAUUCUUUUUAUUAAUGCAUCAAUUGCUUUUUUAAUAAUUGGGCUAGCUGGUAUAGGGAUUACUUUUGGAUUAAAUCUGGUUUAUUGAAUUAAUAAAGUUAGUCUUAGAAAAAUUAUUAAAACAGAAACUAAUAUUGAUUCUUGAUUGGUAAUUCUAUCAAUAAUUCCGUUAAUUGGUGUUGUAGUAGAUUUCCUUAUUUUUAAGAAAACGGCAAAUAAAUUUUCUGAUCGAAUCAUUAGACCGAAUAAUUUAGCGACGAAAAAUUUAUUUAACUGAAUGUCAAUUACGCAAAUAUUAUUUUCAAUUAUUAUUUCAAUAUUAUUGAUAGUUAAUGUUAUUUAUUUAAAUACCAAUUCCUUGAGUAAUUUAGGAUCAAUAAAAUUUGUUUCGUUUAUUGUUUAUGCGCCGAUAUCUUAUGUAACCGGAAUAAUAUUAUUAGUAACUCUAGUUGUUGCGACUGUUAAAUUCUUUAGUCGAAUUAUUAAAACAAAAAAAUUAAAGAAAGAAUUAAGAAUUUCAUCUAAAUCAGAAUAUUUUGGUCAAAUAUUUCUUCCUUGAUUAUUAACUGAAUACAGACUAAAAAAAGCGAAUUACAUUUCGUUACAAGAUAUGGAUAAUAAUUACCAAGUUUGAAAAUAAUAAGAAUGCAUCUCGGAUGCAUUCUUGUUUUUAUAUACAAGAUAAAAAGAAGUUAAUAACAAGAAAACUCUUAAAUCUUAUUAAAAAUUGCGAUCCUUUUAUUUAUAUAAAUAAUGUUUAGAAUCCUGUAUUUUCUAGGGUUUAUAAGAUCUUGUAUUUUCAAUACUUAUAAAAAAUAAUAGAUAAAAAUUUUGAUAAAAAAACUAAAAAUAAAAAAAUAUUUAAAAAAAAUAUUGUCAUAUUUGGUUUUUUGUGUUAUACUUUUAAAGGCUUUAAAUAGCUAACAUUGUUCUUUGAAAACUGAAUACGACAAAUCUUUCUAGUCCGAAAUUUGAUUAAAGUAUCAAAUCAAAUUUCAAUAAUAUAGAUUCAAAAAUAGCUAAUGGAUCAAAU
rnacentral:misc_RNA from 1 species